AUGGCGGCGCCAUCGGAGGCGGCGGUGGAAGCAUUCAAGCAGGCGCUGGCGACCGCUGCCUCGGUGUCCGCGUACGCCAUGCUUGCGCGCGGCAUGGCGCGGGAGCUCCUCCCCGACGAGUUGCGCGCGGCCGUGCAGUGGGGCGCGGCGUUGGUGCGCUCCCGCUUCGGCGCCCGCGACAAGGAGCGCCACACCAUCAUCAUCCGACACUACGACAACGCCGCGUCCAGCCAGAACAGCUUCUUCGACGCGGCGCGCACGUACAUGGCCACCAAGAUCAACCCGCGCACCAUGUCCCGGCUCUGCCUCGCCCGCUCCCUCAUCACCGAGCCCGACGGGAGCAUCAGCUGGAGCACGCUCCUGUCCAUGGAGGACGGGGGCUCCAUCACAGACCACUUCGACGGCGUUGAGUUCCGGUGGGCGUUCAUGGAGGCUGGCGGCGAUGACGGCAAUAGGGCCAAGGGCGGGGGCGAGACCCUAGAGCUCAGCUUCGACGCGGAGCACGCGGACACCGCUCUCGACAAGUACGUGCCCUUCAUCAGCUCCACGGCGGAGGAGCUGCGACGCCAGGACCGCGCGCUCAAGAUCUUCAUGAACGACUACGGGUCGUGGCAAGGCAUGAACCACCACCACCCGGCCUCCUUCGAAACGCUCGCCAUGGAUCCAGGGCUGAAGCAGGCCGUCCUGGACGACCUCGAUCGCUUCCUCAAGAGGAAAGACUACUACCGGCGGAUCGGAAAGGCUUGGAAACGCGGCUACCUGCUCUACGGCCCCCCUGGCACCGGCAAGUCCAGCCUGGUGGCUGCCAUGGCCAACCACCUUCGUUUCAACCUCUACGACCUCGAUCUCUCCAGUGUGCCCGACAACUCGUACCUGCAGUGGCUUCUCAUCGACAUGUCCAACAAGUCCAUCCUCGUCAUUGAAGAUAUUGACUGCAGUUUCGACACCAUGUCGAGAGAAGACCGCAAGGACCACCCCGACGAGGACGACGGACGAGACAACCAAUCGGGAGAUGAGCGCAAGAUGACACUGUCGGGGCUGCUCAACUUCAUCGACGGGCUGUGGUCGACCAGCGGCGAGGAGCGCAUCAUCAUCUUCACCACCAACUACAAGGAUCGCCUCGAUCCGGCGCUGCUGCGGCCGGGGCGCAUGGACAUGCACGUCUACAUGGGUUACUGCUGCUGGGAGGCAUUCAGGAAGCUGGCCUGGAACUAUCACCUCAUCGACGACCACCCUCGGUUCCCAGGCAUACAGGAAUCACUUGCAGGGGUGGAGGUAACGCCCGCCGAGGUGUCCGAGAUGCUGCUACGGAGCGAGGACGCCGAUGUUGCGCUACGGGUACUUCUGGAAUUCCUCCAAGAACGAAGAGGGGCAAUAAAAGAGUCAGAGGACAAGCAUGAUGCGUAG
rnacentral:rRNA from 1 species